ACUGCUCACUGUACAUCCGGUGGAGUUUGAUGUGCAGUGAAUAAAUUUUAGGAUAAUUUACAGAAUAGAGACUGUAGCACAAACCCAUUUAAAGUAAAGACACUGAGUGGAGUGUGGUGGCACAGGCCUAUAAUCCCAGCACUCAGGAAGCUGAGGCAGGAGGAUCCUUAUGAAUUCGAGAUCAGCCUGUGCUACAAAGUGAGCUCAAGGCCAGCCUGAGCUGCAUAGCAAGACCCUGUCUCAAAAAACAAACAAAACAAAAUAAAAUAAAGAUACUGGGUUGAGGGAAAAUACUGUGCCCCCCCCCAAAAAAAGUGUGUGUGGAGAGAGAGCAGUGUCUGUGUGUGAGGUGUGAGGAGACCCAGUUUGACCCCCAGCUCUGCCGACCCUGCAUGGAGUGCAGGGCCCCCUCCCUGCCGGGCCCAGUCCUCAGCUGUGUGAUGAGAUUACUCACAGCUCCUGCCUUGCCCACCUCUGGAACCCAAGGAGGGGAUGAGCCCAUGAGUAAGAGUGCUUCGGCCAGGAAAACAAGUGCUUCCGUGUUCCCGUGUCGGCUCUCAACUGCCUUCAAGGUGUGUGUGCGUGUGUGUGUAGUACUGGGAUCACACCCAGGGCUCGUGAAAAUGACCUGUAACCCCAGCCCUGGGUGUGUGCCUUGUAUUUGUAUCUCUGUGCGCACACACACGUGCACACAGACACAGAGUAUGCACACAUAUAUCAAGUGUUACUCUCUACACAGACACACACAACCACACACAGAUAUUUACAGCAGCUUCUGUCAAGUGAAAAGAUGCCAAUAUGUCCUCAUCCACCUUAGGACAGAUCUGUCACUGAGCGACUUCCGGCUCUUCCCCAAACCCGAAAUGACUGGGAAGGGAAAACAUUUGAAUCAGUUCAAGACACUGAGGCAGCCACAGCAAAGCAGUUAAAGACACAUGACAGAGGGCUGCAGCCCUGCUUCAGAAAGUGACAAGAACGCAGGAUGAAGGGUCAGUGCCAGCAGGCUGAGGAUCUGCCCUGGAGCCAGGAAGCAACACUCAAGGCCAUAUGUGGUGGAUUAACUCAUGGUCAGUUUAUAACACCCAGCUGAACUGAAUCAGCGUGGCUCUGGACAUGAAAGGAUUUUUGCCAACAGCAUAAAAAGGGAACCGGAGAGGAAGAUAAUGCGCUGUUGAUUCUCCUGGAAAAGUUUGUCACACUGGCUCUCCUGAUAUGAAAGUUGUUCUCAUCGCUGGAGGAGCUCGGGUCAUCUCUGUCUCUGAGGAUGGCUGUGGUUCUCAUUGGGGGAGCUCUGGCCUUACCUUGAGUGUGGCUUCCUGGCUCCAGAGCAGAUCCCUCAGCCUGCCGGCACUGAUCCUUCAUCCUGUUGGUGCAGACUUUCUAGCUUCCACGCUGACCUUUGGGCCUUCCCAGUGCAGAUCCUUGAUACAGACUCACAUGAGACAUUGUCGGGGGCUCCAGGCCUCUAGCUGAACUCAUGGAGGACAUUGCCAUGGGAUCCGGGGCCUUAGUUGAUCCUUUGGUCUCUCGUGCAUGGACAGAUCACUUUUACUCUUCUGCAUUUGACUGGGUGAAUUUAUUUGUUUUGAGGGUUUUGUUUUGUUUUGUCUUUUUGAGACAUGGUCUCACAGUAAAGUUCAGGUUGGUCUUGGGCUCACUUUGCAGUCCAGGCUGGUCUCGAAUUUGCAAGGUUCCUCCUGCCUCAGCCUCUCAAGUGCUAGAACUAUAGGCAUGUGCCACCAUGCCUAGCUUUUUGGGUGAAUAUUAUAAAAUUCUAUAUAUUAUAUGUCCUGUAUUAAGUCUAUUCCCUUACAAACCCUGACUACAAUACCAUAAUAUAUGAAAAUGUGAACCUACACAUUCUGUCAAAAAAUACACACAAAUUCAGCAGUUCACCAUAGUAAUGAAAAUCUGGGAGCUAACGGCCACCACUAUGAGCACCUCUUGUAAUUGUAGAGACCAAAUGCAACAUGUAUUCAUCUCACAAUGUCUCAAUAAAUUUAGUAUUAAAAUA